GACGAACCGUCCAAACGUUAUUCGGAAUUACUGGGCUUAAAGGGUGCGUAGGCGGCGCGGAAAGUUGGGUGUGAAAUCCCUCGGCUCAACCGAGGAACUGCACCCAAUACUACCGUGCUUGAGGGAGAUAGAGGUGAGCGGAACUUAGGGUGGAGCGGUGAAAUGCGUUGAUAUCCUAAGGAACACCGGUGGCGAAAGCGGCUCACUGGAUCUCUUCUGACGCUGAGGCACGAAAGCUAGGGUAGCGAACGGG
rnacentral:rRNA from 1 species